AGGAUGACAGAAAGGCACAAAGAGUAUUGUGACUUCUGGCUUCCCAAAUGACACACCGUAUUGCAUCAGGCACCCUGGAAGCCACAAAAAGACCAUCUGAAAUUCGUCAAAAUCAAAAUAAUACAUUCUGCUGGAGAGAUGCUGCAAUUACACCUUUCACUGACCAGAGGCUGCUGUGGUGCCAGAAGAGAGGGCAGCCAGCUCACGAGCCCGAGCAGCCAGCCAUGGAGAGAGAGAGAACAGAGGUUGCUUUUCUCACAGUGAUAUGCCUGCAGGGCCAGGGUCAGAUGGAUCUGUGGGGAAAAUGAGUUCCAGAGUGGUGGACAACCUCUGCUGAGAAUAUUCUGCCAUCAGCCUCCAGAAUUUCAACCCUGGGAAAUACAGGAGAAGGAUGAAAGGACCGUCUUGUGGUUAAAGCACUGAGCUGGGACUCAUCUCACUAAUGGCUUUUUGCUUUCUGCUUGAUAAUAUCAUUAAAUAUUAUAGCAGGGUAUCUUAUGCCUGCCAGGUUCUGCUCAAGAGACUAAAGUCUGGAAUAGACUGAGACCCACUGGUAUGGCUUCAAAGAGAAGUUUGUAUAUAAUGAAUAUCUAGAGAAUGCCUAGUUCUUGCCAGCCAUGUCAGAAUCUCCUUUUAAAUGAAAGUUGAUCCAUUUCCCUCAUUGCUGUUCUCUGAAAGCUCAUUUGCAUUUCUCAAGUUGUCUUAAAUAAAAGGGACAAUCCUAAGAAGUGUUGAGCACCUGUAACUCCUCUUGUAGUCAAUUGCAGUUACAGAGUACAAUUACAGAGUUGUGGGUACUCUGUAUUUCUCAGGAUUGGGCCCAAAGUUUUAAAUGAAAAUUGCCAUUUCGUUCUAAGUUGAAUGUUAUUGUGAUACAGAACAGAAAUACAAAGAGUUGGCAAGUGCAAUACAUACAGUAAGCCAGGGCUGUAGUAUUAUUCUCACUAGGUUGGGUCCAAUACAGAAAGCUAAGUUUAAUUACGAAUACAUAGUUGACCAAAUUCCACACUCAACUACAGACAUGAAAGUCCACUGAUUUUAAAUCCCUAUUGAUUUGAAUCCAUUGGGGUUGCAUAGGUAUGUAUCUGAGAGCAGAAGUGGUCUUUGUAUCAGUCAAGCACAACCACAACUGUGUGAAAGCUGGCAGUUUCCAUUUUACAACAUGCACUUUGUGAGUUCACAUGCCCUGUGUUUUGUUUUCAGAACUCAAACUCAAAGAAAAGUUCAGCUGAAACUGCUAAUUUUACCUUGUUUUAGGUUUAACUAGUUUCCACCAACCCCAUAGAUCUCCCCAGGUCCCAAGGUCCACUUGAAACUUGAAUAUAGUUUGCCACAAGGUUUGUGAUCUUGGCAAACUGGGCCAAAGUUUCGGGUUUGCAGUGAAACAUGGAUUUUAUUAUGAAAGUUUUACACAGACUUAAUAAAAAUCCAUUGAGCAAGUCUUUGUUUUUCUUCCUUCCCUUUCUAGGACACAAAUCUGAGUCAUCCAAACACCGACUAGGAAUACUUUACACAAAUAUCAGUGCACACACAUAGUAUUGCCAACACCAAGCAUUCCUAGGUCCUGAGUCAAACCCUCCAAAAAUCUUGAGUUUUAUCAAAAACAAUCUCAUGAUUUUAAAACCAACCAACCAAAAUUUUUGAAACUUUAGGGUUCAUGUUUUUAAGCUUCUCUCUGGAACCAGAACAACUAGAAGCUUCAUUUUCAUUAAAAUAAAUAAAUAAAUAAAAUAAAAAAUAGAGAUUCUCUUAUGAUCCAGGAGCUGGAACAACAUCAGAUAUGCAAUAAAAAUCAAAAGAGUUGGAACUAUGUGAUGCUUGCCACCCUUUCAGGGUUGUACUGAUAAAAAUAGUUCUUCACAUCAUAGGCAUAUAUCAAGCACAGGAAGCUGGAGGUCUAGCUAAACUCUCAAAUAAUGAGAAAGUACCUGUGGUUACUGGUUGUUUAAAAUUUGAGGGUGUAGGAGCAGGAUUUUAUAAUUGUACUAUAAGAAUAGAGGUACUAAUGUAUGUCUUGAUUUCAUUUUACCAGCCACCC